AGUAAAAUCAAAUAGAUUUUUGGACAACCCGCCAAAAUCCAAAAGUAAUUGGAAAGUAAAAAGGGAAAAACGUAAAAAACAAACAAAAUGGAUCUCUCUGGAAGGAGACCAAAAUAUGAACAAAAUUUUCCAGAUUUGGAAGGUGAGGUACCUCUUCCGAGUGUGGAUCUUCGCAAAGUUUCUGAGUGAUUUGUCAAUGUUUGUAUUGUAGAUGGCGGAGAAGUUGAUUAUGGGAAGAAUUUUUUUCUGCCAGUGUAUUGAUGGGAAAUAUCAGUGAUUAUAAUUAGCUAACUAAGUGCAACUUUGGAUCUUUUCUGCUGCUGUUUUGGUGCAACUUUGGGGCUGUAGUAUUGUGAAUAUAAAUGAAGAUUCAACAUGUUAUAUAAAGCAAGGUACUCCUUCAGCAAAUUUGAUAGAAUUUUUAUAAAUCAUUGUUCAUUAUGACUACCUUUGAACAUAUAUAUUGGAAGAAUGAAGAUGAAUUGCUUGGAGCUUUAGAAUAUCUGAUUCCUAUUCUGAAUAUAUCAGCUCAGAAAUUGAUGUGGAUCCACCAUAUUGUUCACCAAAGUGUUGCAUAUUUUUUAACAUAUGGGAAUAAGUUUUACCAAGUAGUUGUAUAGUCUCUUUAUUUCAAAGCAAUAUUGAAAUAAAUGCAGUGCCAUCCAUAACAGACAGUUGUAGCCUGUAUCUAAAUAGCAUAAUAUUUUGGAUUAUAUAAUAUAUAUAAAAAUAAUUUUAAAUAGUUUGAUUUUUUAUACAAACCUGUGAAUAACAGAUUUAACUUCAGAAUUGCAUUUUUUACAAUAAUAUUUGGUUCCCUCUGUAUCAACCUUUGUAAUACAAUUGUUGCAAGCCAAGUAAGACCAUCCAUGGUCAAGUUCCAAACAGACGAU